CCGCUCACUAUCCUGAACAACACCUCUCACCCGCCCACUAUCCUCGGCAACACCUCUCACCCGCUCACUAUCCUGAACAACACCUCUCACCCGCCCACUAUCCUCGACAACACCUCUCACCCGCCCACUAUCCUGAACAACACCUCACACCCGCCCACUAUCCUCGACAACAUCUCUGACGCGCCCACUAUCCUCAACAACAUCUCUGACGCGCCCGAACAUCUUUAAACCCUGCCCACAACCUUGAACCCUGUAUGGACCACAUACACUAUCCCAACACAAUCUUACCCGACCCAUUAUCCUGAACAACAUAUCUCACCCCGCUGACAAUCAUGAACACCAUAUCUCACCCUGAUGACAAUCAUGAAUAACAUA